CCUGUAUUUGCUCUAAUGGCUUGCAAAACUUUCUCCAAAUUUUCUUUCUUAACUAAAAUCUUCACUCUUGUCACCUGGCCUUGGCCAUUCUGCUGGCAAGAAACAACGCCUUCUUCGGCAUCCUGCAAUGCUCCUGCUGUCUUUCUUCUCGAAACCUUUGCACUUUUUCGAUCUCUCCACAGUCUAAAGCCUGACUUUUCUUUCAAUGACUCCAUCUUCAGUUGCAGAACUUAUUUGUAACUUGUUGAUCUUUGUGUAACUGUAUACAAAAUUUUAUGUGCCUUGAGUUAGCUUUUAUAGUAUUAUGAGGAAGGACGCGCAGGUACCUAAUUUAUUAUGUUAACAUACUAUACAACACAUACAUGGAAGUCUGGUUAAUUAAUUAAUGUAAAUAGUUCCUGCAAAAAUAAUUCAGUUCUGAAUGCUGUCAAAUUAUUGC
rnacentral:lncRNA from 1 species